CUUUUACCGAUGCUUUUUUUUUAUGCAUACUAAGAACUUUUAGCCCAUAAAACCGUCAGGGAAUAUUUAAUAUUUUAAAUGAUAGUUUAUACAUAAUUAUUCUCCUUAUAUUAGAACUUUAACUGAGAAAAAAAAUCAUUACUUUUAACUGCAAGAAAAAAAUUAAAUACAUAUAUUAAGAUUGAAUGGAAAAAAAUUAAGUAUUCGAUAAUUCAUUUUCUAACCAGCUAAUUCACCAACAUUUUCUAACUUUAUAACUUGUUAAAAAAAAAAUUCGAAAAGAGGAUGACCCUGAAGGCCAUCCUUGCAACUUCCCGCUAUCUACACUCGAAGCGCGCCGAAGUAAGUUCAGGAGU